rnacentral:lncRNA from 1 species
ACCUUUGCUCCCUCGACCUUGGUGGUGGAGCUGCCUUGGUUUAGCUUUUGGCUGGACCUGGAUGCCAUUCCAGCCAGGGUUACUUUGCUGGUGACUUUUCUCCUUACACUGGUCACGAUGUUUACAGGCCUGAGAACCCUGCGGUAGCCUAUGUUAAGGUCCACUGAAGCCAAUCGCUGCGGUUAACUUUGUGACUGCAGUGGUGGUUUUUUAGGCGGUGCACUUGUGGAUGGCCGACUGCAUGGUUUUUGUGUUUGCCUCUCUGGGAGAGUUUGUGAUCGUCAAGGUGCUGCAAGGAAAAUACUCUCUGCUGAAGCAAAAGGAAGCUGAACGAGUAGUGGUGACCGCAAUCACGCCCUGGAUCAACGAAAUCAGCGCGAAAAAACGCAAUUCAACAAUCGGCAAACCGGAUGGUUGACCCUUUGCUGAAAAACAGACUAAGGGAAAGUCAAAAUAACGUGGCAGGAAAUCGACAAGAUUUUCAGGAUCGUAUUCCCGGUACUGUUCGCUGUUUUCUGCCGUUUAUUGGGCCAUUCUUAUCGUGGGCAGCCGAUAUGUUCACCAUCCGGCCGAACACUAGAAUUAUUAUUUGCUUCUAUGCAGACCUUGUGUAUGAAAUCUGAAUGAUAAAUAGAGCACCGCAACGAAA